rnacentral:tRNA from 1 species
GGUCCCGUAGCUUAACUGAAUAGAGCAUCUGACUACGGAUCAGAAGGUUGGGGGUUUGAGUCCCUUCGGGAUCAC